AGAAACCAACAGGGAUUACCUCAGUAACGGCGAGUGAAGCGGUAACAGCUCAAAUUUGAAAUCUGGCUCUUUCAGGGUCCGAGUUGUAAUUUGUAGAAGAUGCUUUGGGUGUGGCACCGGUCUAAGUUCCUUGGAACAGGACGUCAUAGAGGGUGAGAAUCCCGUAUGUGACUGGUUGCUUUCGCCCGUGUAAAGCUCUUUCGACGAGUCGAGUUGUUUGGGAAUGCAGCUCAAAAUGGGUGGUAAAUUUCAUCUAAAGCUAAAUAUUGGCCAGAGACCGAUAGCGCACAAGUAGAGUGAUCGAAAGAUGAAAAGCACUUUGGAAAGAGAGUUAAACAGUACGUGAAAUUGUUGAAAGGGAAGCGCUUGCAACCAGACUCGCAUUCCGUCGAUCAUCCGGAGUUCUCUCCGGUGCACUCGGCGGUAUUCGGGCCAGCAUCGGUUUGGGUGGUGGGAUAAAGGCCUUGGGAAUGUAGCUCCUUUCGGGGAGUGUUAUAGCCCUCGGUGCAAUGCCGCCUACCUGGACCGAGGACCGCGCUUCGGCUAGGAUGCUGGCGUAAUGGUUGUAAGCGACCCGUCUUGAAACACGGACCAAGGAGUCUAACAUCUAUGCGAGUAUUUGGGUGUUAAACCCAUAUGCGUAAUGAAAGUGAACGGAGGUGAGAACCCUUAAGGGUGCAUCAUCGACCGAUCCUGAUGUCUUCGGAUGGAUUUGAGUAAGAGCAUAGCUGUUGGGACCCGAAAGAUGGUGAACUAUGCCUAAAUAGGGUGAAGCCAGAGGAAACUCUGGUGGAGGCUCGCAGCGGUUCUGACGUGCAAAUCGAUCGUCAAAUUUGGGUAUAGGGGCGAAAGACUAAUCGAACCAUUCRGAUGCUAGGUGGUKAAGGUUAUAUYCUAACAGAUACGGAUAUAUUCAGUCUUACUUGCGUGAGGCGACAUUAUCAAAUUGUUCGGGGACAUCCUGUCAAGUUAAGCUACCGCUAUUAGUACUGAAAAGUCUAUUAGCACCCGGUUAAUGGCCGAGGGUAUGGUAAAAACGCUUAAAUAGGGACAAUCCGCAGCUAAGCUCUAAGGGCAAUAUCAGCCUAUGAGYAGGGUUCAGAGACUAAAUGGUAGUGGGCCCUUAUUGGGUUUAAGUUAUAGUCCAUCCUCUGAGAGAUCAAAGCCAGUGGGAUGACCCUAUGAAUGCAAGUGGUGGGUUUAUUAGGUUAAACCCAUUAUUAAAUAGGGGCAAUUUCCCUGGGAAAUWACAGCCCCCGUGCUUKGUAUUUGGGUAAWGCUAAUACUGGUCCGCMCCAAAUUUCCC
rnacentral:rRNA from 1 species